AAGUGAGAAGCAAACAUUGCAAUCAGUUUCGACCUGAUCUUAGAUAAACCCGCCUGUUUAUCCUCACUUU
rnacentral:tRNA from 1 species